GACGUAGGGCGCGAGCGUUGUCCGGAUUCACUGGGUUUAAAGGGUGCGUAGGUGGGCAGGUAAGUCCGUGGUGAAAUCUCUGAGCUUAACUCAGAAACUGCCGUGGAUACUAUUUGUCUUGAAUGUUGUGGAGGUGAGCGGAAUAUGUCAUGUAGCGGUGAAAUGCUUAGAUAUGACAUAGAACACCAAUUGCGAAGGCAGCUCACUACACAAUUAUUGACGCUGAGGCACGAAAGCGUGGGGAUCAAACAGG
rnacentral:rRNA from 1 species